UGGCUUCUAUUAUGCAAUUUCUUCUC
rnacentral:piRNA from 1 species